AUUGAACGCUGGCGGCAGGCCUAACACAUGCAAGUCGAACGAGUGGAGGACGGGUGAGUAAUGUCUGGGAAAAUGCCUGAUGGAGGGGGAUAACUACUGGAAACGGUAGCUAAUACCGCAUACCAUCGGAUGUGCCCAGAUGGGAUUAGCUAGUAGGUGGGGUAAAGGCUCACCUAGGCGACGAACCCUAGCUGGUCUGAGAGGAUGACCCGGCACGCGGGAACUGUGACACAGUCCAGCCUCCUACGUGCGACAUCAGUGGGGCAUAUUGCACAAUGGGCGCAAGCCUGAUGCAGCCAUGCCGCGUGUAUGAUGAAGGCCUUCGGGUUGUUAAGUACUUUCAGCGGGGCGGCGUUCCCCGCAGAAGAAGCACCGGCUAACUCCGUGCCAGCAGCCGCGGUAAUUC
rnacentral:rRNA from 1 species